UUGGUUCUGGGGUAGUAUGGGUGAGAAAAGGCUAUGAGGAUUCUGGUGGCCUUAUAAGAAUAGAGCACACAGGCUUACACAUACUCCCUAUCUUCAGCCACGUGAUUUCCCAGGUUAGCAACGAGGCAGGCUGCUGCAGCUAUUGAUGCAGCUCCUAGACUUGACAUUUCUGGAACUGUCAGUCUAAAUAAGGCACUUUUCUUUAGAAGGCUACCAGCCUCAGAAAUUUUAUUUUAGCAAUGAUACAUAUAAAAAAAUAAACAAAAGUACUUUAAUCUAAGAGACUUAAGACAUGACUGACUGUAUUUUAUUUUGUUCCUUAUUCCAGUAAUUUGUUUCAAAAACCCACUUAUGAGGUGAAAGAACUUUUUAAAUUUUUUUUUUAAGAUACGAAGACAGGGUUGCACAUACAUGAAAUGACAUGGGGUUUGGGAUCUGCUGUGGAAUGACAAUGGAUUCCUUAGUAGGGAAUCAGAGAAAAGACCAGGGAAAUGCUUUUCAGCGUGGAAGAUGAAGAGUCCCUGGAAGGCUACGUUAUAGUUUGAGUUUUAUUUUUGCAUUUUCUAGCAAGUUUGUUAUGGGGAAAUUUCAAACAGUGAAAAUAUUGACAGAGAAAGUGGGGUAUUCUGGGAAGCACAGAUCAGGAUGGGAGAUCUGGUAAACAUGGCUGUGUUCUGAUGGAAGUCUCGGAGGACAGUGAUGCUGGAGGGGCCAGGAGCUGGAGUGCAGUCCUGACCAGGGACUACUAACACAUAGGCUGCUGGGGCACAGGGUAGUGGCAGGGGCAGGCUUAUACUGGAGAAACUGGGUCGUUGGCUUCUUCUUCUUCUUCUUCUUUUUUUUAAAAUAAGGACAGUGUUAAUUGAGGGUGACACUUGUGAGGAGCAUCUAUCUGGCAGCAGGGGACUUUGUGAGGUCACGGUCAGUGAUUGCCACUGUGACUAUUCCUGUAGGCUCUGUCCCAAGUCAGAGCCCACACAGGGUCAGCCACUGAGCACAUUGCAGUGGAGGAUGGUGAAUGUCAGGGAGAGCUUUUUCUGUUGGACUCAGACUGGCACUGAGCUGGGACUGACCAGUUCUGCUGUGGACCACAGACACUGACAACCCGGAGCCAUCAGAGUUCCUCUGAGCAUUUACCCAAGUCUAACAGAGGCCUGCUGGCAGGAGGCGUUCACAAGGUCUUAAUGAAGCAGGCGCUUCAGAUGGGGCUUCACGACUCUAAAGGCAAGUGGAGCUUUCUCUGUGCACCCAUUUGUGUAGUAAGAGGCUGAACAUUUCGUUUUGUAAAUGAAAAGCACGGUCAGGAUUUCAGAAGAUUUAGUCAGAGAGCCAAGUGUGUGCUUGGCAAAGCAGCAGCCCUGCAGACACUGCUUUCCUGUGCUUCCCAGGCACAGGUGUCCCUGCUCUGCGUGACAGAUGCCAUCCCAGGAAAGGCUGCCUGUGCUACCGCCUUGUGAGGGGCCAUCUGAAGCGCGACCUCACCCUGCCCUUACACAACCUCAGCCUACAGAUGAGCGCUCCGUGCGGAUGGAGAACUACUUGGAUACGUGAGGAACAGCCAACCAAGCCCCUCAUCUCAAAGCUUUGUUUGGAAGUGAUCAUGUGCGAAAGCAAGCUCUGGGCACCCUGCACACUGUGAGGCUUGAUGUCCUACACAAAAGCCCUUCUUCUCACAUCAUUCCUCAGGCAGCCCUCUUCACCCUCCCUUCCAGAGAACAGACUUUGAUGGCUGUCCAGCCCUGCCCUGGAGUGGCCUCUCUUUGGAGGCUAUGCAAAUAAGGAGGGGAAGCAACACCUCAGCCCCAGCUCCAAGGCUGCUCUAUGUUGUUUGAAUAAUCAAAUGUGACAUCUGCUAGCUGGAAGCCACUACUUCCCCUUCACAAGAGGCUGAAAUGCUCCUCAGGGGUCCCAAAGAACACCUUGUAUUCAAGGAGCAAGAAUAGCCAAGCCCCUGGCAUGCACCUCUGAGAACCCCUUUUGGGCCUCAGGCCUCUUCCUCUGUCCCCUGGUGUUCCAAGAGCUGGUUGACCUUUCCUUUUUUCUACUGACCUAACUACCAAACAGAAGGAGUCAAAGAAAGAGGAUGUGAUAGGAGUUCCCCUUUCUGCCUGGCUCUGAGAUUCCCUACCCUCUCCAGCUCUUGGGCAAUACAACCUUCCGCUCUUGGGGGCAGGGAAUAGCCAUGUUCAGAGGAAGCUACCAGGACAUGAGAAACAUAGGAGACGGCCCGGUUUCCAUUCUUGACUAUGUUUUCCUCAUGCUUUGCCUUAGCAUCCUCUUGGGGAGUCACAGCUGCCUGAUCAGUCACCCCUGAACACAGAUGACCCACCCCACCGCAGCUACAGAAGGAAGAGUAAGAAUGCACCCAGGCUGGAGGUGACUGAUGGUAUGGAGAGCCACUUUGACAUGUAUUCACCCAUUUAAAUGCUCUGAAAUAGGACUGUGGUAAUUUGGCUGAUCUCACUGGGUUAGAGACUAAAAGAGAGAGUUCUAAAAGAAGUGGGGUCUUAUUUAUUUGUUUUUUAUUUACCCUUUGUUAUAAACCCAAAGCCAGCCUUCUCCACCUGCGGCUGAUUCUCUCUGGCUGGGUGUGGAGGUAGCUCUGCAACCUGACUGAAGUUCUAGAGGAAAGAGAGGUGGAAAACCGUGUCCUCAGGAAGUUCCCAAAGGGCCUACGGUUCAGGGCAUGGAGGGGAGAAAAAACACUACUUUUGGUUUAAAAGUUUAAAAACAAACAAAUAAGCCCUUCUCUCCUUAACACACA